AUGGUAUGCUCAUCUGAUUUACAAAUGACAAGGAGCUGGGACUGAUGGCUAACGCAAUAGAGGAUUGAGUCAAUAUCCAAAAAGACCUCAGCAGAUCAGAAUGCAGGACAGACUUGAAUUCAAUGAAAUUUAAGCUCCAAGUCUUCUGGGGUUUGUUGCUAGCCAGGUAUGCAAAACAAAGACAGGAAUUCAAACCAAAGGUUUGAAGUAGAUGGCAAUGACUCCAUUGGCUCCAGCUAAGUGCUUUUUUAAUAAUUUUUUUUUUGGUUUUUCAUUUCCCCCUUUCAUUUGCAAGGGAGACAGAAAGAAUCUUAGAGUGAUGGAAAAUUGAGUUGCCCAACACUCACAUAGUGAAAUUUCUUGUCAGAACUCUUUCCCUCAACCUUCAGUGGAUUUAAGAGACUUAUAAGGGUUUUCCAAAGCAGAGAUUAUGUGGCCCUUCUAACCCUCAGUCUGACGGAGUCUUGGAGCAGGGAAGUUUUUCAUGUUAAACAAGGACAAAUUUUUGAAAGAUAGGUUAAGAGACUUUGAGUUUGACACCGUUAGCUGGUGUCCUAGGUUCCAAAAGGAGAUUAGGUCCUGAGUCAAAGAGUCUCCUUUGGGAGAAGAAAAGCCUCCCACAGCUAUCUCUGGGUGAAAUAUCUUUCAAUUGAAAAGAACAAUUACUUAAACAUUUUAUUUAAUCUAAUAUGGGAUAUACAAAGGACCAAUCUCCCCAAACUCACUUCUGAACUCUUAUGGGGAAGAGCUGGUACCUCAGUUGAAGACUCACUGUAUCAAAAAUCUGAAGGCAAGAAGAAGCUCCUAGCCAAAUGCCUGGAACAGACACCUCUAGAGAUACUCAUGAAAAGAAGUACCAAUACAUGUCACAUGAGGACAGUUGAGUAGUAGAUCCAACAUCAACCACCCAUUGUCAUUACUAGAAGCCCUCAAUGCUCCUGAGACAUCAGAGUGGCUCUCCUGUGCAUUUUAUUUAUAUAUAUCCUCAACUCACUCAAAAUGCUUUGGCCAAGUGUUCCAUCUUCCAGAGCUUGGGAAAUUUCCAAUUUAUGAUGUGUGCAUUGUACUGAAGACACAAAACAAACAAUUUAUAGCCACUCCAUUGGACAGCCUAGAGAUUAGCAAGGGAAAUGAUUCUUCUCCUUUAUUUUCCUGGCACAGAGGAAAUGAUUUUCUACACAGGGCUGGGGUCUCUCUGACCCAUCGAUUGGCUGGUGGAAGCACUGGAGGCCGGGGACUGGCUUUCUAUAAAUGGUUUCUCCUUCAGUUCGACACAAGAGGGCUCGUCCUGACGACUUACAAUUAAGGAAAAUCUAUAUCUGGCACUUUUAUUCGGAAAAUGAAGCGUUUCCAUCGCUGGUAAAUAAUUAGGGGAGAUCGGCUCCGGGCCAUAAUUAACCAAGCUCCACCUCUGGGGGAAGCUGGCCUGGCCACUUAGCACACUAUGGUCCAGGAUCAUCAGAUGUCUUUGAGGUCUGUGCAGCAGCUCAGCUGGUCUUGAGAAUUCACAGCAUCUGAACAGGUGUUCUUCCUUGUCCUUGGAGUGAAGGACCAAGAGCUGGCAGAGACCUUGGAGAUCGUGGAGAUCAUUUCACAGAUGAAGUUACUGGCGGGAGGGGAAACCACCUUGCCCAAGGACACAACGAGUAGGCAGCACAAUGGGAAUUCGAAUUCGUGUCCUCUGAGUCAAGAUUCGGUCCCUGACAUAUCACAAGUCACAUAUUGCCUCCUUUGUGGAGUCGGCUAAGCCACUUCGCUGCAUAUGCCCAAGCCCUGUGCAGGGUAAGGGGAAGAGAAACUGGGUGUGCCAAGCUCAGGGAGAAGUAGGGGGUGCUACAGCCCCUGCCCUCCAGCAACUCAUAGUCCAAGAGGACUGAUGAGACUGACUCUGGAGCCUUCAGAACUUGUACUGCUCAAGUCUAUCAUCCAUAUGGGCAGAUCCUUUGCACAGCUGACUCUAGCCCAUUGCUACAUUGCCAUUCUAUAUGACUAUUGCCUAU
ensembl:lncRNA